CAGUCGCCGCGGUAAUACGUAGGGUGCAAGCGUUAAUCGGAAUUACUGAGCGUAAAGCGUGCGCAGGCGGUCCGCUAAGACAGAUGUGAAAUCCCCGGGCUCAACCUGGGAACUGCAUUUGUGACUGGCAAGCUAGAGUCUGGCAGAGGGGGGUGGAAUUCCGCGUGUAGCAGUGAAAUGCGUAGAUAUGCGGAGGAACACCGAUGGCGAAGGCAGCCCCCUGGGCCAACACUGACGCUCAUGCACGAAAGCGUGGGGAGCAAACAGGAUUAGAUACCCCCGUAGUCCCUGUCUCUUAUAC
rnacentral:rRNA from 1 species